GGUUCGGCCCUCGGCUGACGGCUCAGUAACACGUGGAUAACCUGCCCUCAGGUAGGGGAUAAUCUCGGGAAACUGAGGAUAAUACCCUAUACACAUCGUUUGCUGGAAUGCUUGGAUGUUCAAAGGCAACGCCUGAGGAUGGGUCUGCGGCCUAUCAGGUUGUAGUGGGUGUAAUGGACCCACUAGCCCGCGACGGGUACGGGCCUUGAAAGAGGUAGCCCGGAGAUGGACUCUGAGACACGAGUCCAGGCCCUACGGGGCGCAGCAGGCGCGAAAACUUCGCAAUGCGGGAAACCGUGACGAGGGAAUCCCGAGUGCUCAUACAAUGUAUGGGCUUUUCUUAUGUGUAAAUAGCAUGAGGAAUAAGGGCUGGGUAAGACCGGUGCCAGCCGCCGCGGUAAUACCGGCAGCUCUAGUGGUAGCCACUUUUAUUGGGCCUAAAGCGUC
rnacentral:rRNA from 1 species